rnacentral:lncRNA from 1 species
UGUCUUUUUCGACUCGCUUCUCCGUAUAGCUUUAUGUAUAUUUUUAGUUGGACGCGUCUGUGUAUGCGCCUAUUCGUAAGUCGGGGGAGAGACUGACCAAGACGGUCGUCAUGGGAACCUGGUGUUCGUUUGUGUAUUAUACGUGCUUUUCUCAGACGGCAUCAGAUGAUACAGUGAGAGAAACUGUUGUAGGGACACAAGCUACUGAAUUAUCGAAUGGAAAUGAUGUGCAUUUUCGGUUUGGAGAGUAAUGAUUGGAUCUACACAUGCCUAAGUGUGUACCGGGAGAAAUCAUGGCAAUGUUAUGGAAUGCAGCGCUGGACCCAUGGCGAGAUAUUAAGGCGAAGACGCCUGUGGGAUUGAAGUAACGUCCGCCAUUCGAAUGAUAACGCUGAUGUAUAUCAGGAUCGGAUGCGAUCCCCCAGAUUCGGCUGCGAGAUGUUGUUCGGAUUUACGGCGAUACUUGCCACUGGGCGAGGGUGGAUUUUUUUGCGGAAGACGAAUGAUUUGUUUAUAAGGAGAAACUCGAGUUUCAGGAGUGUAUCGAUCAGACGAAAUGAGUUGACAAAGACGACCCAUUGAUUAUCUCACGGCAAAUACCUCGUCAAACUCCGAUCAAUUACAAAAAUCCAAUCAAUUAACCAAGUUCUUGUACACGCUUUCUCAGCCACCUUCGACACGGGCGUACUCCGUGGACCCGAUGAUUGAUCAACCUUUAUUUUUCGUCGUUCAUUCGAGAGUACGUGAAGGGAACGUAAGAUUGACGAGGAAGGAUUUCGGCCGCCGCUAAAGAUGUUAUUUCGUAUGUUUAGGACUUUUGGGUAUACUAACCCUUCCGAAGCCGCGAAAGUUUGGAGAGCAGAGCUUGAUUCUAUAUAGACCGAUGAUAAGAGAUUAAAUUACACUCCUAUGUAAUUUAGGGGACUUUACGAAGGAUUUAAAGUUAUUCAAUCGCGUGGGAGGUUACGCUCGUCAUCGGAAUUGAAUUACGAUUUCUCCCUCUCUUUCAAUAUUUUAUCCCAAACGACUGGUGCGAUUAAAUUCUUUUUACUAUAGCUCGUUCGCUUUUUUCAUCGAGCCGUACCUCCACUGCAAAAAAAAACUACCAAUUACACCGUACUGUGAAAGAGUGCAAUUAAAACCCCCCAUCAAGCAAAUAAUCUCGCAGGAGGUAAAUUAAACAGAAGCCUGGCCCUCGUAAAGCGUAAGACCUCCUAAAAGCAAAUCAAUCCAGCCAUUACCUCGUCUUCAGCUCCUUGGCAACAGCUCGAAGAAAUACAGCGAAAAAUUCACUGGCAGUAGAGAGACGAUCGCAACAAACAAACUCAUCGCUCGAAAGUCGCUGACGCUCGUGCGAAGCACUCGGCCGUCCAUAAAAGCGCACUACCGGCGGGCUUCGCGUUAAAAUAAGUGGCGACCCUCCACGUGUAUACACUAUCUUCGCGAUCUUUACGACUCCAUCAUCGCGCGGCUCUCCAUACCGCAAAGCUCAAGCUCUAUAUACAGCCCGGCGGGAAAGAAGCCUCGGCGAUGUAACGACCGGUAUAUAUGAUUUCCGACUUAAGCCGUCCGAGUGUCGGCGCAGUGCAAGCUCUAUAUUGCCGAGCGGAGAUCCUCCUCUGCCAUAUUUCGCAGCUCUCUUAUCGUUCGUAAUGAAGAAAUAAAUCCGACACGAAAGAAAGCAAGAGAGAGAGAGAGAGAGAGAGAGAGAGACGCACACGCACUGUAGACGUGUUGUUCGCAGCUGCGGACAAAGUUGGUAAUUCCGUGAAGGCUCGGCUCAAGGGAGAACGGGCUGAAACUUUCCUCCGAGUGUCUGGCGUAUUAUAUGCUAGCUGGAAGUGAUAUAUACACGGGGAAGAGAGAUGAAGGCGGGUAUAUCGAGCUUUGAUCGGACCAUCGAGGAGGUCCACAUCUGCAAGCUCUGACCUUGCGAUGGGCGAUCGCUUUUAGGUAGCAGGAGCUCGUAUGGGUGUAUAUAUUGAAAUGGAUGGGGAGAGGAGGAUGGUUAACACUGCGAGGUGGAUAAAGAAUCGUUCGUUACUUUCUAUUAGGGAGUAGGUUCGAGCUUGUAUGCGCGAAGCUGUAGCAGCUAGCUGAGAUGGAAGUUUAAAAAUUAAGCACGCGAGAUUUGCCGACUUCUGAAGUCGAGCUUUUUAUUUAAAUGAAUGCGCUUGCAGUAUUUACACUGAAGAACAAGCUAAUAAAGAAUACGCUGUUUUCAGUGGAAAUGAUCGGGUAUUGUCAGCCACACGACUAAUAAUCAUCGCUGUGUAACCAUUGAGAUAUCAGACUAGGGACAGAUUAUUUUCACGAGAAAAAGCUGGGAUGAAACACCUCUCAAAUAUAUCAGAGAUUCUUCGAAAGCACAUCCAGACCUAUCAUAAAUCAAAGCAAAAUACGCUGCGAGAAUAUCUUCGCGCUCAAUAUACAUCUUAUCGGAGUAAAUUUUCAAAAGGGGCACAUCAGUUCGUGUUUGAAUUCCUGUUUUUUUCACAUACAUACUUCGAAUAUGUUACACGGCUCUUCGGCAUCAGACUCACGCGCCAAAAUUUACUCGGAUGGAGAGGAGGUCUCGAGUAGGUAGUGUUGAGAAAAUACUCGAAAAUACAACGAUACACACACACACACACACACACACAGCUAGUAUAUCUGUAUAGCUGUACAAGACCGGAGCAGAGGUCCGAGGGUUGCUACCUGGGUUUUAUUGCACCCGACCCACCACCGACGCAACGCCCCCCAGCAGAGACGCAGAGGCACAGGGCCUCACUUCUUCAAGAACCGCAGACCAGCCAACACAUCUGCGGCACAACAAGCUUUAUCUAUUUUUGUUCACAUAAAGUUUUUUCAGUGUAUUAUUAUUAAUUCUCUAAUAAGUGUCACAAUUAUAUUUUGCU